AUGGAUCUCUAGGCUCUCAUAUCGAUGAAGAACACAGUGAAAUGUGAUAAGUAAUGUGAAUUGCAGAAUUCAGUGAAUCAUUGAAUCUUUGAACGCACCUUGCACCUUUUGGUAUUCCAAAAGGUACACCUGUUUGAGUGUCAUGAAAAUCUCUC
rnacentral:rRNA from 4 species